UACGGAGGAUGCGAGCGUUAUCCGGAUUUAUCGGGUUUAAAGGGUGCGUAGGCGGGUUAUCAAGUCAGCGGUAAAAUCGUGGAGCUCAACUCCAUCCAGCCGUUGAAACUGAUGAUCUUGAGUGGGCGAGAAGUAUGCGGAAUGCGUGGUGUAGCGGUGAAAUGCAUAGAUAUCACGCAGAACUCCGAUUGCGAAGGCAGCAUACCGGCGCCCGACUGACGCUGAAGCACGAAAGCGUGGGUAUCGAACAGG
rnacentral:rRNA from 1 species